GAUGAACGCUGACAGCAUGCUUAACACAUGCAAGUCAACUUUUGGCGGACGGUUAAGUAACGCGUAAAGAUCUUGCCUCACAGAUAGGGACACCAUUUGGAAACGAUUGCUAAUUCCAGCUACUGUGAGAGGGCUGUGCGUCCCAUUAGCUAGUUGGAGAGGUAACGGCUCACCAAGGCGAUGAUGGUUAGCCGGCCUGAUAGGGUGAUCGGCCACAAGGGGACUGAGAACCGGCCCUUACUCCUACGUGAGGCAGCAGUGGGGAAUAGUGGACAAUGGACCAAAGUCUGAUCCAGCAAUGCUGUGGGCACGAUGAAGUUUUCGGAAUGUAAAGUGCUUUCAGUUGGGAAGCAGUACCAACAGAAGAAGUUACGGCUAAAUACGUGCCAGCAGCCGCGGUAAUAC
rnacentral:rRNA from 1 species